rnacentral:rRNA from 1 species
GACGAACGCUGGCGGCGUGCUUAACACAUGCAAGUCGACAUGAGUGGCGAAAGGGUGAGGAAUACGUGGGUAACCUGCCCUCCUUCUUGGGAUAAGCCUUGGAAACGGGGUCUAAUACCGAAUGAAGGGGGAUGGGCUCGCGGGCUAUCGGCUUGUGGGUGGGGUGAUGGCCGACCAAGGCGGUGACGGGUAGCCGGCCUGAGAGGGUGACCGGCCACAUUGGAACUGAGAUACGGCCCGUACUCAUACGGGAGGCAGCAGUGGGGAAUAUUGCACAAUGGGCGAAAUCCUGAUCCAGCCAUGCCGCGUGUGUGAAGAAGGUCUUCGGAUGGUAAAGCACUUUAAGUUGGGAGGCGUUACCAACAUAAUAAGCACCGGCUAACUUCGUGCCAGCAGCCGCGGUAAUUC